UCAAUGGGUCUGGGCUGAAAGUAAACAGCCACUAACGUCAACUGGUUUUUCUGACUGGGCUCCAGGAGAACCCAAUAAUUUUGUUGAUGGAGAAGAGGGAUGUGUUGCAAUUUAUAAACCCCUAAACUAUCACUGGGUUGAUGCCCCAUGUAACUGGAAUGAACCGCAUUACAUUUGCGAACAGAAAGGAUCGUCUGUCACGCCCGUUGGAUGAUGAUGUACUUUGUUUUGCAUGAUGUUGAUUUUGUGUUUUGACGCUCUACAUCUUAAUGCAGAAAAUCUUAAAUAAAACCAAGAUAAAGUAAUACAA